GGUGACUCCCCCCACGAUUGCGGUCCCCCGCCCUCCGCCCGGCCGCCGCUGGCGGACCCCAAAGUCGGGGCGAGUCUCCAAACCGGGGAGCCGGCCCCGCCCCCACGCCGCGGCGGCGCCCUCCCUUCCCCCUCCCCGCCGCCCGCCUCUCCCCCUCCCCCCUCCAUAACUCAAAAGCCUGUCAAGCUGGUUCCAGACUCCUGGCGCCGGGCUCCGCUCCAGGAAAGAAAAAAAGGAAAGAGAAAAAGGGAAAAAGCCGGCGCGAGGGAGCGAGAGAGGCCCGCGGAGCAAAACCGUGCGCCCCGGCACGCACAGCCCCGCGGCCCCCGACCCCCCACGCCCCUAACCCUAACGGGGAUCCCAGUCCUAGGGACACCGGGCGCGUGCGCGACCCCAAUCAGUUAUUUAUGGGCGAAUUAAUUAUGUAGCUGCCAUGGGCGGGGGGGCCGGCAGGGGCCAUGCGACGCGGAGACCACCCGGCCGCGGUGGCGGCUCUCCUGCCGGGCCUCGGGGUCGGGAGGCGUCCCCACGCCGCCCGGGGAGGAUCCCGUUGUGAGAAAGCUGCCUCGGGGUGGGGUCCGGGAGGAGCGCGGGGGAACCUGAGGAAGCGGGAGAGACGGCUCGGAGACCUCCCAAUUAGACUGGGAGGGGAGAGGGGGGCGGGCGACGGAGCUGGAAAGAGCGGGCCGCGGAGACCGGGGCGUGGGAAGAGCCUGGCCUAGGCAUUUCUUCCCUUCCUUCCUUCCUUCAUCCCCAUCCUUACUGCGAGCCCACUACGUGCCACUGCGCCCACAGCAGAGGGCGGUAUUAGGGAGGGGUUAGGAGCAGGAAGGAAUUUCGAGGUACAGCUGGGUCCAAAUCCGGAUUUGUAUCCUAUACUCCCCUGCUGUGUGGCCUUAGGCAACGGCUUGCCCUCUCGGAGCCUCCACUUCCUCAUCUGCCAGUGGUCUUCAGGACUUGGGAGAUGGGGCGCUUGGGCAGAGAGUUUGUGGGGGCGCGGUCGAAGGGAGGUCCUGUCCUUGGGAAACUUUACAUAGAGGGGAACAUGCCCAGUCCCCCAGUAUUCCCCAUCUCGAAGCCCCGACUUUGGGUCUCAUAUAAUCUGCCUCUCCCCGGGGCCCACACAUUUGAAGGUCGUUAUUAAAACCACACCACCCCCAAGGCCACUGCUCAGGACGCUCACCCCUAGCUGGCUUCUCACCAGCCUGGCCCUGCAGAAGGUCGUGCAUAUGGCAGCCAGAGGGGCUCAAUCUAGUCCUUUUACUCCCCACCUCCGCUGCCUCCCCCGACUCUGCCCUUCACAUCCCCACCUGGGUUCUCCUUCCAACCUGCUUCUAGUCUGGGCUAGGGAGAUUGGAGCCCUGAGGCCAUGGGGGCUACGGGGCAGUGAGAACAGGGGUGGGGGCUCAGCUGGCCCUCCCUGGACAAGUGUCCCCCUUAUCUGGAGUGUCAAGGCGUUCUACUUCCAAGACUCAGAAGUGAAGGAGGCUUCCGUUUGCGACCCAGGAUUGCCUAGGGGUUUGCCUGUCUUCUUUCACCAAAACUUGCAAUAACUCUGUUAGGUGAAUGGGGCAGAUCCAGGUUUUAUGGGGCCUGAAGGUUUUACAAUCCUGGGGACCCACUUGAAGAAGAAUAGUGCAAAGUUAUGAAUAGGCGGUUAAGCUCAGGGCCUUGGUAAAUGACAGUCCCAGGAGCUAAAGCUUCAUUAGCCCCUCGGUAACUCACCUCUGUAGAUGGACAACACAACUGUCAUCCCUUUGCAGAGGUGGAAACAAAGCUUAGGCUGGCCCAAGGUCACAACAGGUAGAAAGGACAAGCUGGGAUCAAACCCAGGUCCCACCCCACAGGCAGCACCCUGAACUAACUGCCUCAGUAGGAAUGCCACCUUCCAUAUCAUCUACCCCAUGCCACAUCUCACCUGUCCCCACCAGUGCCCAGCCCAGGCAGGGUCAGUCAGAACAGCCUUUGCUUCCAGAACAGUCUGUGUCCCUCCCUCCAGAGGCCUCCAUGUCCCAAGGCUCAAGCCUCAGAGAUACUGUCUUGUGACAACACUCACAGAUCUAGUAAGUAGGUCUCUUCUAAACUUUUGAUUCCAGCAAUGGUAACCUGCUCACUCCAGAACUCCAGCUCCCCCGUCCACCUGGAGGGAGCGCACCCCUGUUCCCCGGUGGGCUCCCUGGUGUUCGGGGCUGGAUCUGUUUUAUUUGGCUCAGUAUUCCCCGCUCUUGACGCAGUACAGACAUACAGCCGACAGAGUGACUGUAGCAGUAACAUCUAUUCCCAACCUCGUGGAACAGGAUGUUGUUAAACUGCGGAUUCCCGGGCCCCCCUCAGAUUCUACUGAAUCAGACUCUCUGUGCACAGGGCCGGGGACUUGGCAUUUUACAAGCUCUUUUGGGUGCAUCUUAACCAUAGUAAAGUUCGAGACCACGGACCUACGGCCAGAAAGGACCAAAUGGUUGUGUCUAGACCAAGGCCUUCUCACCAGGGGGAGUUAUCUCCCCUAAAUCCGACCGAUUUCACCAGUUCCCCAGGCUCUUCUGGCUGAGAUCAAAUUAUUUCACUUAUCAGGCCAGGCACAGUGGGUCAUGCCUGUAAUUCCAGCACUUUGGGAGGCUGAGGUGGGUGUGUCACUUGAGGUCAGGAGUUCAAGACUAGUCUGGCCAACAUGGCAAAACCCCGUCUCUACUAAAAACACAAAAAUUAGCUGGGUGUGGUGGUGGGCGCCUGUAAUCCCAGCUACUCAGGAGGCUGAGGCAUGAGAAUCGCUUGAACCCGGGAGGUGGAGGUUGCAGUGAGCCAAGGUCGUGCCACUGCACCCCAGCCUGGGUGACAGAGCAAGACUCAAAAACAGCAACAAAAAUUAUUUCAUGUAUCAAAGACCUACUGCCUGCCCGGGACUGGGUCUGAGGCCUUAGAGAAUUGACCUCAUAGGAUACUCGCAAAAGCUCUGAGAAGUAGGGAGAAUUAUUGUCCCCAUUUUACAGAUGGAAUCUGAGGCCUGGAGAAGCAAAGUGGCUUUGUGGAAGGGAUACGGUGCUGGGGAAUGAGGAGGCUGGGAUGGGAGCUGAACUCACACCCUUAACUCCUUCCUUCCACUGCCCACAAGGCCACUGAUCCGAGGGCUGUAACUCGCAAGGGUCCUUCAGUAACAUCCGGAGAUGAGAGUUUACACACCAGCCUGUGAGCGGCUUUGAGAAAUUAAACACGCUACAGAGUCACUACAGGGACCUCAUGCUAAGACGCGCAACAAAAUUAGGCGACAGGCCCCAAAGAAAUCUAAUCAAGUAGGCCUCUUCUCCUCCGUAUCUUUGGAGUCGGUGUUCAGGGGAAUGUGUGUUUGCGGAAGGAUUUGAUGUAUUUGCUUCAGGCAAAUCUUUGCCUUUUUCUCUGCCUGCAGUUCUGUGCUAGGCAGCAAGAAAGCUCCACAGCUGGUGGCCAGUGCUGCAGGCCAGCGUGGCUCCCUGGGCUUCUCUGUAGGGCUGUGUUAUCACGCUUCCCCGGGUCCGGUGCUCUGUGCAAACGUAGCCUCUUUCCUGCUCCAGGAUGGGCAAGGCACAGGGGAGGUUUCAGGUGGAGAGAAAUUGAUUUAGUGGCCACUGCUUCUGAGGCUGGAGGACCUGCCUGAGGCAGAGGGUGUGGACUUGUUCUGGGAGGACCCAGAAGGCAGAACCACGGAAGGCUACCAAGGGAGAGAGAUGAGGACACUGAGGCUCAGAGGGCUGACAUGCCAAGCCCCAGGGCACAGGAAGGCAGGCCUCUGCUUCCACCUCACAUCCCCCAGUGCCUCUGGAAACCGCAGCCUGUGGAGGGCCUGAGGUCGCUUAUCACCUGUCUCUGCAGCUCAUCCUCAGCAAAGACUGAGGGUCCUUGAUGCUGUCCGGGUCCUUGAUGCUGUCCCCAUCUUUAUGCCAGGUCUCAUCUCAGAGGCAGGCUCAGGAAGGGAGCUGGGAGAUGCCGGCAGAGGGCCCAGGAGAGGCACACUGCCCACCAGCUAGGAGCUGCUUCUGACCUCGCUGGCCGAUGGCCGGGGACCCUGGCCCCUCCCAACCCCAGGGACACAAAGCAGAAGAUCCCAGAAUGGGGAUGGGGAGAGAGGACCAUCUUGUUCAACUUCCUCAUUCUAUACCAGGAAAACAGGCAUCGGAGAAGGGAAGAGAUACCUCAAGGUCAACGCCAAGUCCAGCAGCUGCUGCUCUCCUGAGUCCUCCACGUGGACUUCUUCUGCGUUCCCACAUCUCAUUCCUCCAAUUUUUUUUUAAAAAUUGUUAGUAGUAGCAUAAUACUAAGAAAGCACUAUUCAAAGGAACAAGAAGACCCACCGUGUGCGGAACGGUCACUGUGCACCAGGCAACGUGACCCGCAAUUUUCUCUCCUAUAAAACGGGGAUGAGAACAGGGCCUCCCCUGCUGACUCAUGGGAAGAGGUUAAGAUCAAAGGUGACAGUGGACAUGAAUCAGCAUUUUAUAAACCACAAGACAUUGUCACCAUGGCUAUCUUUGGUUUUUAUUAUUUAUUUUUUAAUUUUUUAAUUUUUAUUUUUUGAGAGCAGGGUCUCACUCUGUUACCCAGGCUGCAGUGCAGUGGUGCAAUCAUGGCUCUCUGCAGGCUCAAAUCCUGGGCUCAAGCAAUCCUCCACUCAGCCUCCUGAGUAGGUGGGACUAUAGGUGUGUGCCACCUUGCUAUUAAAUUACCUGGCUAUGGCCGGGCACAGUGGCUCACACCUGUAAUCCCAACACUUUGGGAGGCUGAGGCGGGUGGAUCACUUGAGGUCAGGAGUUCAAGACCAGCCUGGCCAACCCCGUCUCUACUGAAAAUACAAAAAUUAGCUGGGCAUGGUGGCACAUGCCUGUAAUCUCAGCUGCUAGAGAGGCUGAGACACAAGAAUUGCUUGAACUUGGGAGGCAGAGGUUGCAGUGGGUCGAGAUUGCCCCACUGCACUCCAGCCUGGGUGACAGAGCGGGACCCUGUCUCCAAAA
rnacentral:lncRNA from 1 species